GAUGAACGCUGGCGGCGUGCCUAAUACAUGCAAGUCGAGCGAAAAGACGAGGAGCUUGCUCCUCUGACGUUAGAGGCGGAAGGGUGAGUAACACAUGGAUACCCUACCUAUAAGACUGGGAUCACUUCGUGAACCCGGAGCUCAUACCGGCUAAUAUAUUGAACCGCAUGGUUCAAUAGUGAAAGCCGGUUUUGCUGUCACUUAUAGAUGGGUCCGCGCCAGAUUUGGUAGUUGGUAAGGUAAAGGAUUACCAAGGCAACGAUGCGUAGCCGCUCUGAGAGGGUGACCGGCCACACUGGAACUGAGACACGGCCCAGACUCCUACGGGAGGCAGCAGUAGGGAAUUUUGCACAAUGGGCGAAAGCCUGAUGGAGCAACGCCGCGUGAAGGAUGAAGGUCUUCGGGUUGUAAACUGCUUUUAUAAGGAAAGAACAGGUGUUGAAGUAACUAUGCGCGUCAUGACGGUACCGAAUCAGAAAGCCACGGCUAACUACGUG
rnacentral:rRNA from 1 species